GAUGAACGCUGGCGGCGUGCCUAAUACAUGCAAGUCGAGCGAACAGACGAGGAGCUUGCUCCUCUGACGUUAGCGGCGGACGGGUGAGUAACACGUGGAUAACCUACCUAUAAGACUGGGAUAACUUCGGGAAACCGGAGCUAAUACCGGAUAAUAUAUUGAACCGCAUGGUUCAAUAGUGAAAGACGGUUUUGCUGUCACUUAUAGAUGGAUCCGCGCCGCAUUAGCUAGUUGGUAAGGUAACGGCUUACCAAGGCAACGAUGCGUAGCCGACCUGAGAGGGUGAGCGGCCACACUGGAACUGAGACACGGUCCAGACUCCUACGGGAGGCAGCAGUAGGGAAUCUUCCGCAAUGGGCGAAAGCCUGACGGAGCAACGCCGCGUGAGUGAUGAAGGUCUUCGGAUCGUAAAACGCUGUUAUUAGGGAAGAACAAAUGUGUAAGUAACUAUGCACGUCUUGACGGUACCUAAUCAGAAGCCACGGCUAACUACGUG
rnacentral:rRNA from 1 species